UGGGGAAUUUUGGACAAUGGGCGAAAGCCUGAUCCAGCAAUGCCGCGUGUGUGAAGAAGGCCUUCGGGUUGUAAAGCACUUUUGUCCGGAAAGAAAUCCUUGGCUCUAAUACAGUCGGGGGAUGACGGUACCGGAAGAAUAAGCACCGGCUAACUACGUGCCAGCAGCCGCGGUAAUACGUAGGGUGCAAGCGUUAAUCGGAAUUACUGGGCGUAAAGCGUGCGCAGGCGGUUUGCUAAGACCGAUGUGAAAUCCCCGGGCUCAACCUGGGAACUGCAUUGGUGACUGGCAGGCUAGAGUAUGGCAGAGGGGGGUAGAAUUCCACGUGUAGCAGUGAAAUGCGUAGAGAUGUGGAGGAAUACCGAUGGCGAAGGCAGCCCCCUGGGCCAAUACUGACGCUCAUGCACGAAAGCGUGGGGAGCAAACAGGAUUAGAUACCCUGGUAGUCCACGCCCUAAACGAUGUCAACUAGUUGUUGGGGAUUCAUUUCCUUAGUAACGUAGCUAACGCGUGAAGUUGACCGCCUGGGGAGUACGGUCGCAAGAUUAAAACUCAAAUGAAUUGACGGGGUCAUUGCUGUUUCCU
rnacentral:rRNA from 1 species